UGUUUGAUAUCACCAAGCUGGAGGAUGCCU
rnacentral:piRNA from 1 species